rnacentral:lncRNA from 1 species
AAAAAAUCCCGAAGGUUUAUAGGUUUGGUGUCAAAAGCUUUUUUUUUUUUUUUUUUUUACUAUGUCUCAUUUUAGCCUCACAAUAGAAAAAAAAAAUUCUUUCCAGAUCUUUCUCUCCUUGGAUGUUGCUUCUUCAGCACCACAUUGUUUCUCCACAGCCGUCCUCGGCCUCCUCCACCUCCUGUUCCCUCUAACCCAGCUCACCCAAACCCUAACUCCAUCUCUGCCCGCAUCCACGACGAUUUGGAUCCUCCGCUCUUGUGUCACCAUUCAUUCCACCAGUUCUCCCUUUUGGCGAAUUCAUAUCCCUUAGUCUGAUUGAGUGAUUCUUCCAUAUCCUAGGGUCCUUCACGACUCCUCUAAAGAAAUCUGGGAAGCCGUGAAGUCAAGAAAUCUUGGUGAUGAACGCGUAAAGGAAGCUCGCCUCAAACCUUGAUGAAUGAGUUUGAACGUCUAAGGAUGAAAGACACAGAAUCAAUAGAUAUCUUUUCGGGCAAGAUAUUAGAAUUGGCCUCAAAUCCGCAGCGUUAGGUCAAGCGAUGGCAGAACCUAAGCUGGUAAAGAAGUUCCUGAACAGUUUACCGCAAAGCUAGUAUAUUCAGAUCAUAGCCUCACUUGAACAAGUUCUCGAUCUGAAUAAAACGAGUUUCGAAGACAUUGUUGGGAGACUCAAGGCAUAUGAAGAACGGAUUUAGGAAGAAGAUACGCAAGAGCCACAAGGGAACCUUCUGUACACGGACUCCAAUCAAUCAUACAACUCAAGAGGAAGAUGUAGAGGUUGGAAUCGUGGUCGAGGAAACAGAGGAAGAGGGUAAGCCACUGAACAAGGAUGUGAUGUUAGGAUGAGGGAUAACUACCUAACACUGGAAGACCCUAAUGGAAGACUACUGGCGAAAGUAUUAAGGUCGCCUAACCGGCUGUACAAGUUGCGACUUCAAGUUGGUAGACCAGCCUGUUUGCACACGAGAAUCGAAGAAGAUACUUGGAGAUGGCAUGCUAGGCUCGGACACAUUAGUUUCAAAACUAUAAGGUCGAUGGCGAUACAACAGGUGGUACACGGGUUGCCGAAGAUUCAAGAUGAGAAGGAGUGUUGGAAUUGGAAGGGAGCGAACAAGGAAGAACAUAGCGAGCAUGGUAUGUUUAGGAUGUCAUGGGGUGCUACAAUGGAUGAUGAACAUGGUCCAUUCGUAGUUGGAACUCAACAGGAAGAACUUGCUGCUGAAGAGACUGACACGCAGCAACAAGAACAUGUUUAAGUCAAUCCAGGCGUUGAACAAAUCAAACCACAACCUAGGCGCUCAACACGUCAAUCAACUCGUCCUAGCUAUCUUGAAGACUACGUAUUACUGGCCGACAUUGAGUGUGAGUUUCUACUUCUUGCACUCAAUGACGAACCAAUUAACUUUCAAGAAGCCAUUCAAUGGCACUACAAAAAAUGAGGUAUUAAUAGCAUAUUACAAUAGCAUUGAUUUACAAACUGGUAUUAAAAAUGAUAUUCUGGAAUAUGAUACUUUAUAAUAGCAUUUUAUUAGUGCUAAAUCGUAUUUUCACUAAGCGGGAAGAGAAAGUGAGUUUUCGAGCCUAGUUUUCUUUAUUAGCGCCAAUACUUAGCCAAAUUUUGAUUCUGGCAAAAAAAAAUCCCGAAGGUUUAUAGGUUUGGUGUCAAAAGCUUUUUUUUUUUUUUUUUUUUACUAUGUCUCAUUUUAGCCUCACAAUAGAAAAAAAAAAUUCUUUCCAGAUCUUUCUCUCCUUGGAUGUUGCUUCUUCAGCACCACAUUGUUUCUCCACAGCCGUCCUCGGCCUCCUCCACCUCCUGUUCCCUCUAACCCAGCUCACCCAAACCCUAACUCCAUCUCUGCCCGCAUCCACGACGAUUUGGAUCCUCCGCUCUUAUUCUUUUUAAUUCCACUGGAGUUUUAUCAUCUCUGCCUAUUCGACUUUAAGUGUAGAAAGAAAGAGCAUUACUCAAGCUUAUUCUUUGCAAUCCUCCUCAACUGCUAAGGUCUGAUUCCUUAUGUUAAUUUUGCC